GUGAUCAAAGCACUGAAUGGUUUUUCCAUAGACCGGCAGGAUAUCAGAGCUUCAAUGGAUAUCAUCAUCAAAAUGACGGAAAAUGUUAAGAACGGAAAGAACUACGUGAUCUUCCCAGAGGGGACCCGUAGCCGGGAAGGCAAUAAACUGCUGGCAUUUAAGGGAGGAACGUUUAAAAGUGCGGUAAACGCAAAAUGUCCUAUUGUGCCGGUAGCACUGAUUGACUGUUUCAAACCCUUUGAUGAGAACUCUUCCCGAAAGCUGAAAGUACAGGUUUGUUUCUUAAAACCGCUUUAUGCCGGGGAUUAUGAGAAGUUAAAAACCAUUCAAAUAGCAGAAAUGGUUCAUGACAGAAUACAGGAGGAAAUAAAUCAAAAAAUGGGUUGACAAGUCGAAACUUAUCUUGUAUAAUUGUCAAUGCGUCUGGAGAAGAUAUUAUUUGAUAGGCGGAUCAUAUGGAGAUUAUGAACUACGGAGAAAUACUCAAGAGGCCGAAGAGGCGCCCCUGCUAAGGGUGUAGGUCGGGCAACCGGCGCGAGGGUUCAAAUCCCUCUUUCUCCGCUCGUUUCCAAAUGAUUAUUUUUUUGCUUUUGGCAGUGAAAAAAAUGGUUGACAUAGUCAGAAAGAUAUGUUAUCAUGUACCAGCUGUCAAAAAAACAGCAAAAAAGAAAAUGAAAAAAGUGUUGACAAGACAGAAACGCUGUGAUAGAAUAAACGAGUUGCUGUUAAGAAAGAAAACAACACAAAGCACUUUGAAAACAGAAGAUUGAACAGUAUGUAAAACCCUGAAAAUUCUAAUAAAAUAAGCCAUGUUUGAUGGCUUUGAAUGAGAAAAUUCAGAACGAAUACAAGCAAUUGUAUACGAACCAAACAACAAGUAAAACGGGAAAUAAAUUAGCUAGUUAGUUGAUUUUGACCCCGGAUUGAACAACAUUAUAAUAUGAGAGUUCGAUCCUGGCUCAGGAUGAACGCUGGCGGCGUGCUUAACACAUGCAAGUCGAGCGAAGCAGUUUGGAGGAAGCCUUCGGGUGGAAUCCAAAUUGACUGAGCGGCGGACGGGUGAGUAACGCGUGGGUAACCUGCCUCAUACAGGGGGAUAACAGUUGGAAACGACUGCUAAUACCGCAUAAGCGCACAGUGCUGCAUGGCACGGUGCGAAAAACUCCGGUGGUAUGAGAUGGACCCGCGUCUGAUUAGGUAGUUGGUGAGGUAACGGCCCACCAAGCCGACGAUCAGUAGCCGACCUGAGAGGGUGACCGGCCACAUUGGGACUGAGACACGGCCCAAACUCCUACGGGAGGCAGCAGUGGGGAAUAUUGGACAAUGGGGGAAACCCUGAUCCAGCGACGCCGCGUGACUGAAGAAGUAUUUCGGUAUGUAAAGGUCUAUCAGCAGGGAAGAAAAUGACGGUACCUGACUAAGAAGCCCCGGCUAACUACGUGCCAGCAGCCGCGGUAAUACGUAGGGGGCAAGCGUUAUCCGGAUUUACUGGGUGUAAAGGGAGCGUAGACGGCGCUGCAAGUCUGGAGUGAAAGCCCGGGGCUCAACCCCGGGACUGCUUUGGAAACUGUGGAGCUGGAGUGCAGGAGAGGUAAGUGGAAUUCCUAGUGUAGCGGUGNGCCCGUACCGUAAACCGACACAGGUGGAUGAGGAGAGAAUCCUAAGGCCGGCGGGAGAAGCAUUGUUAAGGAACUCGGCAAAAUGACCCUGUAACUUCGGGAUAAAGGGUGCCUGGGAAACCAGGCCGCAGAGAAUAGGCUCAAGCAACUGUUUAGCAAAAACACAGGUCUAUGCAAAACCGAAAGGUGAGGUAUAUGGGCUGACGCCUGCCCGGUGCUGGAAGGUUACGAGGAGGGGUUAGCAGAAAUGCGAAGCUCUGAAUUUAAGCCCCAGUAAACGGCGGCCGUAACUAUAACGGUCCUAAGGUAGCGAAAUUCCUUGUCGGGUAAGUUCCGACCCGCACGAAAGGCGUAAUGAUUUGAGCGCUGUCUCGACAAUGCACCCGGUGAAAUUGAAAUACCAGUGAAGAUGCUGGUUACCUGCGCCAGGACGGAAAGACCCCAUGGAGCUUUACUCCAGCUUGAUACUGGGAUUCGGUACUGCAUGUACAGGAUAGGUGGGAGGCUAUGAAGCAAGGACGCCAGUCUUUGUGGAGCCGAUGUUGGGAUACCACCCUUGCGGUAUUGGAUUUCUAACCUGCAGCCAUGACCUGGCUGGGGGACAAUGUCAGGCGGGGAGUUUGACUGGGGCGGUCGCCUCCGAAAGGGUAUCGGAGGCGCUCAAAGGUUCCCUCAGAAUGGACGGAAACCAUUCGAAGAGUGCAAAGGCAUAAGGGAGCUUGACUGCGACACCGACGGGUGGAGCAGGUAGGAAACUAGGACUUAGUGAUCCGGUGGUAUAAAGUGGGAUUGCCAUCGCUCAACGGAUAAAAGCUACCCUGGGGAUAACAGGCUUAUCACUCCCAAGAGUUCACAUCGACGGAGUGGUUUGGCACCUCGAUGUCGGCUCAUCGCAUCCUGGGGCUGUAGUAGGUCCCAAGGGUUGGGCUGUUCGCCCAUUAAAGCGGUACGCGAGCUGGGUUCAGAACGUCGUGAGACAGUUCGGUCCCUAUCCGGCGUGGGCGUAGGAUAUUUGAGAGGAGCUGUCCUUAGUACGAGAGGACCGGGAUGGACUGACCUCUGGUGUAUCUGUUGGCGAUCAAAGCCAUGGCAGAGUAGCCAAGUCGGGAAGGGAUAAACGCUGAAGGCAUCUAAGCGUGAAGCCCCCCUCAAGAUGAGAUAUCCCAUCGCAAGAGUAAGACCCCUUGAAGACGACGAGGUAGAUAGGGCAGAGGUGGAAGCAUGGCAACAUGUGUAGCUGACUGUCACUAAUAGGUCGAGGGCUUAACCAG
rnacentral:rRNA from 1 species